CCUACGGGUGGCUGCAGUCGAGAAUCAUUCACAAUGGGGGAAACCCUGAUGGUGCGACGCCGCGUGGGGGAAUGAAGGUCUUCGGAUUGUAAACCCCUGUCAUGUGGGAGCAAAUUAAAAAGAUAGUACCACAAGAGGAAGAGACGGCUAACUCUGUGCCAGCAGCCGCGGUAAUACAGCGGUCUCAAGCGUUGUUCGGAAGCACUGGGCGUAAAGCGUGCGUAGGCUGUUUCGUAAGUCGUGUGUGAAAGGCGCGGGCUCAACCCGCGGACGGCACAUGAUACUGCGAGACUAGAGUAAGGGAGGGGGAACCGGAAUUCUCGGUGUAGCAGUGAAAUGCGUAGAUAUCGAGAGGAACACUCGUGGCGAAGGCGGGUUCCUGGACAUUAACUGACGCUGAGGCACGAAGGCCAGGGGAGCGAAAGGGAUUAGAUACCCGAGUAGUC
rnacentral:rRNA from 1 species